rnacentral:rRNA from 1 species
CGCGGCCUAUCAGCUUGUUGGUGGGGUAAUGGCCUACCAAGGCGACGACAGGUAGCCGGCCUGAGAGGGUGACCGGCCACACUGGGACUGAGACACGGCCCAGACUCCUACGGGAGGCAGCAGUGGGGAAUAUUGCACAAUGGGCGAAAGCCUGAUGCAGCGACGCCGCGUGAGGGAUGACGGCCUUCGGGUUGUAAACCUCUUUCAGCACGGAAGAAGCGAAAGUGACGGUACGUGCAGAAGAAGCGCCGGCUAACUACGUGCCAGCAGCCGCGGUAAUACGUAGGGCGCAAGCGUUGUCCGGAAUUAUUGGGCGUAAAGAGCUCGUAGGCGGUUUGUCGCGUCUGCUGUGAAAGCCCGGGGCUUAACCCCGGGUGUGCAGUGGGUACGGGCAGACUUGAGUGCAGUAGGGGAGACUGGAAUUCCUGGUGUAGCGGUGAAAUGCGCAGAUAUCAGGAGGAACACCGAUGGCGAAGGCAGGUCUCUGGGCUGUUACUGACGCUGAGGAGCGAAAGCAUGGGGAGCGAACAGGAUUAGAUACCCUGGUAGUCCAUGCCGUAAACGUUGGGCACUAGGUGUGGGGAACAUUCCGCGUUUUCCGCGCCGUAGCUAACGCAUUAAGUGCCCCGCCUGGGGAGUACGG